GACGAACGCUGGCGGCGUGCCUAAUACAUGCAAGUCGAACGCAGUGGGGACGGGUGCGUAACACGUGGGUAACCUCCCAUCAGAGGGGAUAACACUUGGAAACAGGUGCUAAACCGAUACUGAUGGAUGGACUCGCGGUGCAUAAGCCAGUGGGUGGGGUAACGGCUCACCAAGGCCACGAUGCAUAGCCGACCUGCGAGGGUGAUCGGCCACACUGGGACUGAGACACGGCCCAGACUCCUACGGGAGGCAGCAGUAGGGAAUCUUCGGCAAUGGACGAAAGUCUGACCGAGCAACGCCGCGUGAGUGAAGAAGGUUUUCGGAUCGUAAAGCUCUGUUGUUGGAGAGGCGGUAUCUAACCAGAAAGCCACGGCUAACUACGUGCCAGCAGCCGCGGUAAUAC
rnacentral:rRNA from 1 species